UACGAAGGGGGCUAGCGUUGCUCGGAAUCACUGGGCGUAAAGGGUGCGUAGGCGGGUCUUUAAGUCAGGGGUGAAAUCCUGGGAGCUCAACUCCAGAACUGCCUUUGAUACUGAAGAUCUUGAGUUCGGGGAGAGGUGAGUGGAACUGCGAGUGUAGAGGUGAAAAUUCGUAGAUAUUCGCAAAGAACACCCAGUGGCGAAGGCGGCUCACUGGCCCGAUACUGACGCUG
rnacentral:rRNA from 1 species